GGCUGACCACUAGGUGUUGUAAAGCCCACUGUGUUCUUCCUCAGGGAAGAUUGAUUCUGCAGCCUUCCUCAGUUGCAUGCAGUUCUUCAUCUAGGGUUCAGGCCUUGUGACAGACUACAGUUAAAUUUCAGAAAAUGAAAAGCUAUGGAUUCCUUCCAGACUAAUAUGGUUUGAUCAAGCAAGACCCACUGAAGCAGUGACCCAACUGAUCCUACAUCCAAAACAGCUGAGAUGAUACAGGCUUGCAGACUACAAAAACAAGGACUUGAAAGACAUUGCAGUGGCUAUUAAGUCUACAACUUUACCAUUGAAAGAUCAUCCUGUGUAAUUCAGUGGAGAGACAGCAAGAAAUCAGGAUCUCAGUACUCUAUCAGCAAGGACUGUGUUCUGAUGACAGCAUACACGAUCAAGUAACUGUCCUCACAAGGCUAUGGAACAAACAACUUCCUGCCACCAUUCUGGUUUGACCUCAUAGGCCUCUCUGCAGAUAAUGCAACCAAGUGAACAUGUACUGAGAUGUUUGUUACCUAGAGUGCCAUGAUCCAAUAAUAUUCUGCUUGUUUAAGCUGCCAGGUCUGUGGCAUAUACUUGUUAUUUCUAUGUUAUAUGUAUGGCAGACAAUAAGCCUACACCACUUACAUAGUCUGUCUGCCAUGGGAAGGAUGAAUGUUAUAAUGGGGAAAGUCACAUAUGGUCUUGUGUGAGUUUAUAUCUCUUUAAGCACUCUGUUGUAUCCACAUGUAACUAAUCAUCUCAUUUGAUGUAUGUCAUUGCAAACUGAAGUGAGAACUAAAAUGCAAAACCCACUGAGGAUUAGAACCACACUGAAGCUAAUUGCAGAAUCAUAGUUUUACUAAAACUUUGCAAGAGUGUUUGACUUUGAAUAUGAGGGUAAUAUCUUAUAAUGUUAACAGGAAAGAAAACCAUGAAAUAUUGCAGGCAAAAUCUUCUCUUGAUAUAGGUGGUUGUUCUCUACAAGACAAUGAAAAUAUCAUGGAAAAAUGAAAAAGGAAGCUAAAGGUUUUUUUUACAUUAAAAUAUUUCAGAACGUUCAUUAUUUCAUUGGCAAUAUAAAUUUUAAAGGCAAAAUAGUUCCUCAAAAGUAAGGUAAAUGCUGCUAAGUUAUGAUUUCCAAAAGACUUUUAAAUGCUUAAAAUAUAAAACCAAGGAAUUCUUUGAAAUGUGUAUAUAGAGACCCAUGUGAAAGAAAAAAAUUCCUAAAGUGAAGAUCACUUUGAUGCUAUGCAAGGAAAAUCCAGACAGAAACCUAUUCCAAUGGUUAUGACUAUCAGAGACAAUUAUUGUCUCGGAGUUCCCAGUUUCAUGGACAUUUUUAAAUAAAAUAUUUAUUGUAAAGAUUUAGUUAUGUUAUUGGAAAUCACACACACACACACACACACACACACACACACACACACACACACACACCAAGUGUUAGGCAAUAUCUUUCGCAGAUAUGGUAGUAACUUUAAUGGUCCAUAAAUGUAGAAGUAAUAAAAAUGUUAAGUGGAAAAAAAAACUGAUUGCAGAAACUUUUUCUGCAUAAGAUUAUAUCUGUAUGGACAGACAACAUCUUUAUGUGUUUUAAGCUUAUACUGAGACAAUCAUACUGCUCCAAGGAUGAUACAGAAACAUCUCAUGUGAAUUGUAGUUGUGAUGCCCACAUAGUGGGGAAGAGGAAUCCUUUCCAGUACAUAGCAGUUGAAAUUACACUCACAAUAUUGAAGAUUUGUGUUUGUUUGCUUUUCUCUGGAUUUGAAUACCUGGCAAAUGAAUACACAGGUAUAUGUCUUCAAACCUGGUUAACACUAAAGGUUUCUGUUCUACAUUGUUGUGAUGGCUUUGCUUUUGGGAAUCAAACCCAGUAUAUACAAAGUGUUCUCCACUAUUGAAAUCUUCCCCAGCUCCAAAUAUUAACUAAAAGUCAGGUUCUCUACAAAUAUUAAAUGAAGGUCUCUAUCUAUAGUUCUGUCUUUUUUUCUAAUUUCAUUUUGAUGCCCCUAUCAUGAAUACCACAUCUCAUUUUUCCUUGGCUGUGCACUGAAGAAAUAACUUUAUAAUAUGUAGUGAUUCUAACCAUAUAUGUUGACAUGUAGAAUAAUAAGUCAGCAUGGCAUGUGAAGAAAUGAGAACUGGACUUGCCAGGAAGCGAUAUGGUAUAGUUAGCAGUGGCCUCAUUGGGUUUGCACAGAAAGACAAAGCAGGGAAGGAUAACAAUUUUAGCUUUGCCUAGACAGAAAAAGUUGGCUAAGACCAAACCUGUAUAAGAAUAGUCAAUGAAAUUAAAAAAACAAAAACAAACAAAGCCCUCAGGUUUGGUCUGCAAUGUAUUCAAAGUCUUCUCUUUGUAAGAUAGCAGAUGCCGGUACUAAAGUAGAGUACCUGAAAAAUGUAAGAACAAUUUCAACAAGUAACCAACCCCUCUCUUCCAUCUGCCAGUUAAUAGAACAGUUUUGAAUGAUGGAAGCCUGAGUCAAUGCAGAAGCAACCUUUACACAUAUACAUUCUUGAGUCUAGAUGGAGUGAGAGACACCAGUGUAACGGUAACUCUUUCAGACAGCCACCUGGGUUCUGCUGCUGCUUCAGGACCCCAAAUAACACACUAAGACUUAAUAUUAGUUACAGUGCUGCUGGUUAAUAACUAGGAUUACUUAUUUGCGAGCUCAGUCUUAAUUAUCAACCAUGACUACUAAUCUAUAUAUUUUUAUAAGGAAUAUCUUCCCGGGGAUGCUGGCCUUAUGCCUCCUCUCCUCCUGGGAUCACAUGGCAAUUCCUCUUUACUACAUUUCCAAGAAUCCUCCCUCUCUUCUAGUACCACCUAUCUUGCUUCCCUAUUGGCCAUUCAUUAACUAAUAAGAGAGACAAAUGCACAGAAGGACUUCCCCCAUCAUCUCCUCUUUUCUGUCUAAAUAAAAAGAAGGGUUUUAACAUUAACAUAGUAAACUAUAUAACAAAACAGUUAUCAAGUAAGAACUAUAGUUACAAAAUCUAGUCCUUUAACUUUAGAAAGAUUUAAAGAAAAUAUUCUAUUAUCUAUCCUAUCUUUGUGAGUCGAAGGUCUUAUAUGAAACUUAUCUUUUACAGUAAUGAAAGAAAACUAUAAACAUAACUAUGUAUCUCCAACUCCAUCAAGGAUAAAUUAAUCAGAACAAAAUUAUAAUUUGCUUAAUUAUGAUAUGGGAAAUAUACACAAUAAUCAACUUAAAUCUAAUAGAGGAUUUGGCUCAUUAGGGAGAUAAGAGAUGUCUGGAUUUAAUCAUCAAUGCUUAUCAUUGGAAUAUAGCUGUUAAUGCCUAAAAGGAAGAAAAUUCAAUAUAGAGCAGAGGUUCACAACCUAUGGGUCUUGACACUUGGGUUGUCAAGCAACCCUACCACAAGGGUCAUUCAUGUCUACCUCAAACACCGAUAUUUACAUAAAUAUUCAUAAUGGUAAGAAAAUGGCAAUUGUGAAAUAGCAAUACAAAUAAUUUUCUGGUUGGGAGUCCACAACAGGAAGAACUGUAUUAAAGGGCUGAAAUGUUAGGAAGAUUGUGAACCACUGAUAUAGAGAAAUCUAAAUGUGAAUAAAGCUUGGAAUGGAGAGGUCACAGUAAUAUCAGAGACUAAAGGAAACCCAUCUACAGUUAGCACAUACUGCAAAAACCAGCUAAGAUAAGAAAGACCAGGGUGCAUUAAAGGGACAUUAUAGAUACCGACAGUGUACCAUGUAGAUACUACAAAUGUGUUGUCUUUUUUUGCAAAGGAAAGUCUGAAACUGAGAUCUGUGCAUGGCAAUAAAAAGAUCUAUGUGAAAAGUUUGAAACAGACAUUUCUUCAUUUAUUUUCACUAGUGUGUGAAAAAUGGACUUAAACCUUUGAAUAGGGGUUGGAAAAGAGAUUCCAUAAGAACUGAUGGAAACAACCCAGCAUUUUAAUAGUGAAUCCAGAUAAGAACAUCCUCACAGUUAACAUUAUGAGGAUUUGAAGGAGGCAUUCAUGAGGAAUCACUUCAGUAUGGGGACACUGAUUUGGAGAAUUAAAUCAUUUUAUUUUCUGCUGUGUAAUACAAACCAUUGUCAUCAAGAUGCCUUGUCUUAGAAGAAAAUAUGAUGUUAUCAUCUAUAUGGUGAAGCUGUAAGUAAUCUUUGUAUACAAUUCAGUCUUAUGUGUACUUCAGAGUAUUAUGCAACUAAUCAUCUUUG
ensembl:lncRNA